CUCACUCCCAACCCCAAUGUGAACGUUACCAAUCUGUUGCCUCGGCGGGAUUCUCUUGCCCCGGGCGCGUCGCAGCCCCGGAUCCCAUGGCGCCCGCCGGAGGACCAACUCCAAACUCUUUUUUCUCUCCGUCGCGGCUCCCGUCGCGGCUCUGUUUUAUUUUUGCUCUGAGCCUUUCUCGGCGACCCUAGCGGGCGUCUCGAAAAUGAAUCAAAACUUUCAACAACGGAUCUCUUGGUUCUGGCAUCGAUGAAGAACGCAGCGAAAUGCGAUAAGUAAUGUGAAUUGCAGAAUUCAGUGAAUCAUCGAAUCUUUGAACGCACAUUGCGCCCGCCAGUAUUCUGGCGGGCAUGCCUGUCCGAGCGUCAUUUCAACCCUCGAACCCCUCCGGGGGGUCGGCGUUGGGGAUCGGCCCCUCACCGGGCCGCCCCCGAAAUACAGUGGCGGUCUCGCCGCAGCCUCUCCUGCGCAGUAGUUUGCACACUCGCACCGGGAGCGCGGCGCGGCCACAGCCGUAAAACACCCCAAACUUCUGAAAUGUUGACCUCGGAUCAGGUAGGAAUACCCGCUGAACUUAAGCAUAUCAAUAAGC
rnacentral:rRNA from 1 species